rnacentral:rRNA from 1 species
UCGGGAAUAUUGCGCAAUGGAGGAAACUCUGACGCAGUGACGCCGCGUGCAGGAAGAAGGUUUUCGGAUUGUAAACUGCUUUAGACAGGGAAGAAACAAGACAGUACCUGUAGAAUAAGCUCCGGCUAACUACGUGCCAGCAGCCGCGGUAAUACGUAGGGAGCAAGCGUUAUCCGGAUUUAUUGGGUGUAGAGGGUGCGUAGACGGGAAAGCAAGUUAGUUGUGAAAUCCCUCGGCUUAACUGAGGAACUGCAACUAAAACUACUUUUCUUGAGUGCUGGAGAGGAAAGUGGAAUUCCUAGUGUAGCGGUGAAAUGCGUAGAUAUUAGGAGGAACACCAGUGGCGAAGGCGACUUUCUGGACAGUAACUGACGUUGAGGCACGAAAGUGUGGGGAGCAAACAGGAUUAGAUACC